rnacentral:lncRNA from 12 species
CUGUUAUUACUCUUUUAUCCUUGGGAACUCUCCAGAUUGGCUUGUGUUCUGAUUUUCAGGACUUCUGGGGAGAGCCCUGUCCAAAGGGCCAAUAUGCUUGUUAGUGGAGAAGACUGAAUGGCCAGCAGAUGAUCCUCACUGACCACAAGAUGUGGGAUAAAUCCAGAAGAAGUUGGUGUACCUUAAGAAGGCUUCUUUGCAAUAAAGCAUUUCAGUAUUUCCUGGGGAGGCGUAGUGCUCUGACUUCUGAGGACCUGUUCCAUCCAGCUCUGGGCUGUACCUCUGAAUCCUUGCCAUUUGUUCCUAGGAUCUGGCUCUAAAUAGCAGAAGCCCUUGGCAGCUUGGAGUUGAAGAAAUUCAAGCUAUGGACUUAAAGAACGUGGUUUCUACUGCAUACCCUCCAAUAUUGACUCCUGGCUACCUGUGUAAGUUCCUGUCUUUGAAUUUUUUCCAUUUGGCUUAGUCUCUACCUUUUUGGAUAAGAAGUCAGAUUUUCUUGUUUCUUGUAUCAUGUCAAGACCUUUCCUUGUUCCAUUGCUUAUUUAAUUUCCCAGGAUAAACUCCAGCCUUCCCAUCUAUGAUCUUAACAUUUAUUUCAACCUCCUGUGCUGUAGAUUCUGAAGACAAAAGCUGCUUGAAAAACCUCCACUAGGCCUCAGGUGCCUGGUACUCUAUUGGUUCUGCCUCUGUGUAAGGCCAGGUUUCAGAGCUGAGUGGAACAG